CCAAGUGCAGGCAUUCAAAGUGGUGGUCCAGUUUUAUCAGCCCAUUAGACCAUAUGAGCCUACGUGACAGCAGCCUGUUAUCCUUCCACUGCCAGGAGCGGGAGGUUGUCGCUGCUCUGUGAAACCAGCCUCACGCAUUGCCC